rnacentral:lncRNA from 1 species
GAUAAUCCAGGAUUGCCUCCUCAUCUCUCAAUCCUCAAUUAUGUCUGAACAGACCCUUUUCCCAAACACGGUAAUAUGUUCCGGGGAUGAGGACUUGAUAUCUUUGGGUGACCGUUAUUCAGUCUGCUCCACCUGGGGAACAGUCAUUGACUUGUCUCUCAGUUACAUCAGACCAAUUUUAUAGCUAAACUUGUGUGGAUCAACUUUGGUAAUCUGACUGCUGCCAGAAUGAAUCUAACAACUAAAGAAACAAUUUUGAGCCUUUGCUAUGCCAAGUACAGUUGAUAUCCAGCAGCUUACCUUGCCUCAGGAGAAAGGUGCCACCAUUGUCUCAUUUUACUGAUGAAGUGACUGAGGCUCGGAGCUCUUUAAUCACCUUCGAAGGUCUGCUGAGUUAGUUGGAAACAGCAGUGAACUCUUGGUUGCCUGUAUUCUUCAAGGCAAUAAGACUGCAGAGUGGUGGCCUUAAGUCAGGAGUGGGCAGGGGAUUUUGGUGACCUAAUUUCUACCACCAGAUUGAUGGAAAACCAUGCAGAGUUAUUCUGCUUGUAUGAAUUUGACUUCGUCUAGCACAGUGAAAGGACUGUGGAGAGGGAAUUAUUAGGGAAAAAUCAAAAGGCCAGUGAGAAGGUUUGAAUGAAGAUUCGGUUGGCUUUGAUUGAGUUUAACAUUCAUGUUUGGGUUAUCUGGGAAAUUCAGUUGUGGCAAUGCUUUUACAAACACCGUUUUCACACAGUAUAGUAUACAAGUGUUAACUAUACCAUUAUCCCACUAGUCCUAUUUUCCCUAGCACUGUGACCAUGGAACUUUAAAAAUGAACUUGUUGAGGGACUGGGGAUGUGGCUCAAGCGGUAGUGCGCUCGCCUGGCAUGCCUGCGGCCAGGGUUCGAUCCUCAGCACCACAAACAAACAAGGAUGUUGUGUCCACCAAAAACUAAAAAAUAAAUAUUAAAAAUUCUCUCUCUCUCUCUCCCUCUCUAAAAAAAGAUGAACUUGUUGAAAUUAAAAAAAGAAAAAAAAAAACUUGCUAGUGUUUCACUGAGUUUAUAUUUCAAUACUUCGCAUUAGAAGUAUUGUGAGAAAAAGAGAAGAUAUUGUGAAAUAUCUAAGAAAUAUUUCUUUGGAAUCAUUUUUAUAAUCUUCCUUCAUGCUGUCAUUUAACUUUGGAAUAAAUUAACAAAUGGAGUUUCCCCUAACUGCAGAAUUUGUUUUGUUGAGAUUCAUGGCAAAACCCCGAGAAUGCCUACUUGCAACUCCAUUUGAGGAGAUUCAUUUUAUUUAAGUCUUUCUGAAGUGUGUUUGAUUUGGAUGUUAAGUGCAUGUUUGCUUAGGGCUCCAGCCCAUUAACCUCUGCCAGGCCUCUGCUUGUCUGGCUUCUGCUCCUCUCUUGACCUGGGCUGGUGCCUGCAGAAUCUGGGUGAGACCACUUGCUCUCCACAGGAGGGCCUCCCAUUUUUUCCUUCCCUUUCUGUUUUGCUGUUAGAGGAUCUGUUUUGUUUUUUUUUUUCCCCCUGAGGUCCACUGAUACUCUGUGUUCCUCCAACUUCAUUUCUACAACUGCUGGUUGGUAGCUUCGGCUUUCAAAUGGGCAAACCUGCUUUCUGUCUCAGAAUUAGUGGUUUUUAUCCUUUCAGGGCUCGUGCUGUGGCAUACACAGUGGCCUGUGGAGUCUGCUUAGCGCAGGAUUCACAAUGGAGCAUUGAUCCCUGCUGCCAUGUGGCACCCCAGCUUCUGCAGCAAAC